GACGGACAGGUCAAGGAGGUGGGAUGAGGUUAGUAGGUAGCUCCGCCUCAGAGACAUGCUGUCUGACAGCAACGUUACAAGUGUCAUGGAUGGGACUCGGGUCAUCCGGGCCGUUUCUGCCGAUGUUUUUGAAGAUGGGCAAACGAACUUUGGCCGCAUCUUUGCUUUCUUGGCUCUGAUUGUUGUUGUGAUCCAGAAAGUUGCUCCUCAGGGUCCAAGCCAAGACGAAGCGCUAUUGCUGGCUGACUGUGUGACAGAUUGCCUUCUCCAGCUCAGGCAGACAUUUCCUCAUUGCCAGCCCAAGAAGUGGGGUUCCAUGACUGCAGUUGCAACUGGCAUGUUCUUUAUGGCUGCAGCAAUGAUUGGUACCAUUUUGUUGAAAUAAUGAUUGCUCAGCGGAUUCUUUUCUCUCAUUUGGGUGGUUACAUUUUGGGUUACAUCGCAAGUUGGUAAAAUUCUGCCAAGGUUUGGCUGUAAGACCACCGUCGCCACGUUGCCAGGCCUUGAAAGAUGAGUGUGUUAAACAUCUCUAUCUAAAAAUAGAAGCAAAAUGCUGUGGAUACUGGAAAUCAGAAAUAAAAACAGAAAGAGAAGGCGGAGACAGAAACAAAGCAUCAAAGAAAAAUUCCAUUUAAUAUCCAUUAUUACCCGAUUUUGGCACUAAAAUACAAUAUAACAGAUAAUAACUGUCAGUCUUUCUUUUCCCUUUUCUUCAUAGAAUGUGUACAUUUUAAUGCCACUGACAACUGUCAUGUAUCCAAUUUAAGGUUACACUUCCUUUAUUCGGUAUAAUUAUGGAGGAACAUUGCAUAUGAUGAUAUUUUCACACCUACUUUUCCUUUGAAAUUAGUACAGCACAGUUCAUGAGAGAACCAGAUGUUUUGUUUAUUGUUAAUAUGUACUGUAUGUAACAUCAGAUAGUUCAGAUUUCAACCAUACCAUUCUCACCACCAUGUUUAGUACUGGAACAACAAACCUAUAUUAUUGUGUUUCAAUGGAAUUUAGUUCUCAACGUGUGUGAUUAAUAGGCAGUUUUAAACAAUAAUAAUAGCAUAUCCAUUAAGUAUAACCAAAUUCCUGUACCACGUUUCUUGCCACACGAUGGCUCUUCCAAUUCUCCCAUCUCACUCUGUUGACUGGCUCAAUCACCCAGUGCCAAAAAUGCACAAUCUAGUAUUGUUAUUUGCAUUUCUUUGGGUUUCAAAAAAAAUCCCUCAUGGAAUGUGGGCAUCGCCAGCUGGCCAGCAUUUAUUGCCCAUCCCUAACUGCCCUCAAACUGAGUGGCUUUCUGAGCCAUUUCAGAGGAAACUGAGAGCCAAUCACAUUGCUGGGGCUCAGGAGUCACAUGUAGGCAGGACUAGAUAAGAUUUCCUUCCCUGAAGGACAUUUCUGAGACAGAGGGAUUUUUCCCCAACAGUCAGUGAUGAUUUCAUGCUCAUUAGUAGAUUCUUAAUUUGAUCUGCUGUGGUAGGAUUUGAACAUGGGUCCCCAGAAAACAAGCUGAGUUUUAUGGAUUAAUAGUCUGGAGAUAAUAUCAUCAGGAUAUCACCUUUCCUUGUUUAUAUAUGUGCCUGUGUACCAUCCUCUGAAUGUGCUCCUAUCUAUGGCUGAGACAGCAGCAGGUUGCUGAGUGAAAAUCAUUCUCUGUCAUGGAAGUUGAUGAAAGGGCAUCAUCAAAGUACAAAAGGUGCACAGGAGCCAAAUUCACAAUAAAUACUGUUCCAAAUGUUUAAUUAGAAUAACUACAUUUGGAAAAUGGAUGGCUUAGCAGUGAUUAAAAAGUGUUUGGGUCAUAUUACAAU